GCAGGCACACUUUGUUGAAUCAACGUUGAAUCUUUGUUGAUUUUAGGUUAUACAUUGAUCAACAAAUAUUCAACAUUGAUUCAACGUUGACAAUUCAACGUUGAAAUUAGAACAUUGUUUCAACGUUGAAUUAACAUUGUGUUGAAACACCAAUAUUGAAUCAACGUUGGCUAAACAAUAUAUGAUCAUAUAUAAAACCUAGUAGUUGUGGAUACCAGAAUUGUCAAAAAAGAAAUAUUGGGCACAUUACAAUUCUUUUUAAAUUGUCAACGAUAUUCACAUAAAAUAAGAAUAUUCAGUAGAUAUAUCACUAAUUGUCGUGGUGAUUAUAGAAUUAUAUAUAAAAUAAUCGCAGUGUAUAUCAGCAUAAAUUAAUCAUGAACUUUGCACCCCAUAUAAUAGAAAUUCCCAAAUUUCACCCCACCCCAAAACAUAAUAAAUUAAUAGAACCAGCUUGCAUACAGAAUCAUACAGUAAAUAUGAUUAUUUGUGAAUAACCCCUUCCCCUAAAAAUAUGCCCCCUUUUUUCCGUGGCUGCCAAUGUCAAAUAUUUUGUUUUCAUUCCUUUUUUUUCUUUUCUUUUUAACAAUCUAAAGAGAAAGACGUAUAUAUCAGUUCAUAAACAAUGGUUGAUAACUUGUAAUAUAAACAACCGAUAGAUCUAUUGGAAUAGUGAUUUUUAAAUUUUCGCGGCAUUUUUAACAUUUCUAUUUUAAGAUAAAUUCAGAUAUGCGCAUGCGCAGUUGUUUUUGUUGCCAAAGUUUGAAUAUCCGCUUUCGAGACCACAAGGUGAUUCUGCAGAGUUUUUAUCAAUAUCUUUCCUGUAUACAGCUUUUAUAUUUUAUCAUGUCAUCAUGAAGACCUAUGGAAUCACGGAACAACAAAUGUCUGACCAAACAACAACCUUUCUGAAAUGGGCUCCAAAAAGACAGGGUGGGAGAAGAAAGAAGCUGAAAUUUUCACUAUUAAUAAAUAAAUUUAUUUUAAUUUUA